rnacentral:rRNA from 1 species
CCUACGGGAGGCAGCAGUGGGGAAUAUUGGACAAUGGGGGGAACCCUGAUCCAGCCAUGCCGCGUGUGUGAAGAAGGCCCUCGGGUUGUAAAGCACUUUCAGUGAGGAAGAACGCCUGGUGGUUAAUACCCAUCAGGAAAGACAUCACUCACAGAAGAAGCACCGGCUAACUCCGUGCCAGCAGCCGCGGUAAUACGGAGGGUGCGAGCGUUAAUCGGAAUUACUGGGCGUAAAGCGCGCGUAGGUGGCUUGAUAAGCCGGUUGUGAAAGCCCCGGGCUCAACCUGGGAACGGCAUCCGGAACUGUCAAGCUAGAGUGCAGGAGAGGAAGGUAGAAUUCCCAGUGUAGCGGUGAAAUGCGUAGAGAUCGGGAGGAAUACCAGUGGCGAAGGCGGCCUUCUGGACUGACACUGACACUGAGGUGCGAAAGCGUGGGUAGCAAACAGGAUUAGAUACCCCAGUAGUC